UCAUCGUGAAGGCGUAUCUAAUAUCUUCUUUCCCCAGCUACACGACUAAUUUACUCAAGUGCACCGUAUUUUUCUUGUACACGUAAACUAUUUAUAAGUCUACAUAGUUGUACAAUUGUAUAGUAUUUUAUACACUGUGCGUAGGUAAAUACGUAUGGCUCGUGUGGUGGUCCCCGCAGAAACCAAAGGUAGAGCCGUGUGGAGGGACCUCCCCCAAGUAAAACGAUAACCACACGGUAUCAGAUCCCUUGUCACUUUCUUGAAUUCAGUGGCGCCCUUUAACUCUAAAGGAACCUCCCCUAAAUAGAUACAGAACUAAUAUUCAUUUGUUUUUAAUAAAAAGUUGAUUUAAUCUUUUUGAUUGUGUUUCAAAAAAAAAAAAAAAAAAUCUUUUUGAUUAUUGACUAGGCUUCGAAACGCGUAAUGACUUCUUCUUCUAGUACAGCCAAACAAGUAUGGUGUCUAUGUAUUUGCUGCGUAUAAG
rnacentral:lncRNA from 1 species